rnacentral:lncRNA from 1 species
GGGAGCCGGGGCGAGUAGGAGCCACCGGGUGGCCGGGGCGGGGGCGGGGGCAGGGACGCCCGCUUCCACUCAACCAGCUCGGAUUACACCCCCGCCGCCGGGAGGGGAAGGAAGUUGCUGGGCGGAAGGUGAACAACCCAGGCCGCUUCCUCAAGGCCCAGGAAGGCGGAGAGCCCUGCUGGUGGAGCAGAGAGCUGAAGCUGAGGACCAGGCUGGGGCAGGACGAAUAGCCAAACUGAGGUCAGCCUGGCACUGAGUCCCAGACUUGCUACGGGACGGGAAUCGCCGUCGGAAGACCCCUGACGUGUUCUCUCCUGUCCUGAGUCCAUGGCAGCGCCCCAGCCUGCAGCUCCCAGUGCCCGGCCAGCCCCUUCCGACCCCGCUGGCUGUGUCAGUACCAGAGAUCGAACUCAGGACCUUGAGGAGCAGGCAUCAGAACCACUGAGCUAAGUCCCCACCCUUGUCCUGCUUAGUUUUAAACACAUAAUUGGACAUCUCUCAGACGGCUGUCCUGGCUGGGACUCUUAGUGAGGACAGGCAGUUCGGAUCCUGAGACGGGGAGCAGGCGCGGCGCGGCCACUCUCCCACCGGAGCCCUGGUCCAGACUCGGACCGCUAGGCCACCCUGUGCCCAUGGACAGCACCAGCCUCGCACAGCACAAGUGUGUCAGGCUCCUGGCACACCUGUCACCCCCUCCCCGGUUCUCAAGUCCUGUGUGCCUGGCCGUGGGCCCAGGUCACCGUCCCUGAGCUCUGGUGACAGCUGCGCCUGACACCAGCUGACCAAGUCCCGGUCUACCGUCCCCACCAGGGCCUGGAUUCCUAGUCUCCUCUGGCAGGGCUGGCCCUGUGCCCCAGGUGGCUGAGGUCCUGAGGCCACACCUCCCACGGCAUCUCGGGCGCAGGUCUUUGUCCGGGCACAGGCGGGGGGCGGGUGCCCGUUUUCGGGACGGCAUAGGCUCUGUGGUCACCUGGCUGGCCAGGGCCGCGCGCCAAAACCACUCAGCCGAAGCCUCUCCCCGCGCCUGGGCGGAGCAGGGCCGGAGGCCUGGGCGUGGCCAGGUCACAAGCUACCUCCCCCCACCCCACCCGCGACUCCCAGCUUCCACCGGAAGGAAGUAGGGGCGAGGCUGGAGCACACCCUUCCCACUUUGCUGAUGAAGACAGGCCCAGCUGGGAACCAGCCCUCCCCAUUGUUUUGGUUUUGAGACUGGGCUUCACUACGUAGGUAGUGCAGGCUGGCCUCAAACACGUGAUCCUCCUGCCUCAGCCUCCUGAAUGAUGGGUCACAGGCAUGCGCCACCAGGCCUGGCUUCUCUUUGAAUCUUCAUCGUGG